rnacentral:rRNA from 1 species
UAAAUUGAGAGUUUGAUCCUGGCUCAGGAUGAACGCUGGCGGCGUGCCUAAUACAUGCAAGUCGAACGAAACUUCUUUAUCACCGAGUGCUUGCACUCACCGAUAAAGAGUUGAGUGGCGAACGGGUGAGUAACACGUGGGCAACCUGCCCAAAAGAGGGGGAUAACACUUGGAAACAGGUGCUAAUACCGCAUAACCAUAGUUACCGCAUGGUAACUAUGUAAAAGGUGGCUAUGCUACCGCUUUUGGAUGGGCCCGCG